CAAAGGGCUGGUAGCACAGCAGAAAGACAGCACUCUGCCAGCUGCAUCCACAUGCUGGACCCAGUCGUUAAGAAGAAGAGAAUGACGGUGCGUAUCAAGUGACGGGGAGUCCAGGACAGGGCAGGAGUGGUUGUGGAAGCAGAUACUGGACUCGUCUCAAACAUGUCAAGGUUCAGAAAGGUUAAGUAACCUCCCUGAGGCCACACAGCUAGUGAAGGAGCAGAGAAGAAACUCCAACCAAAGUCCCCUGAUUUGGAGUUCUGCUGUCAGCCUCGUCUCUGCCAGUUCUGGGCUCCAGAACAGAGGGAAGAACGUCAACACCAAAUCAUCACUGGGGUAAUA